AUCAACACACAAUACUAGGAAAAAGGAGCAUGGAAAAUGCUAACAGAUGAUAAUGAGUUAAAUAUUCUCCGUUUCUAAAUCUAGACAACUUUGAAUCAAGAAUAAGUUAGAGUUUGGUGCAUGCUGGUGGAAAAGGAUCUGAUUUGGAGAUGCUGAUGGAAUUGGAGUUCAGAACCGUCUGGUUACCUUCCCCUGAUCACUUUUCUCCUACAGAGAGUAAGGACCAAAAUUAUGUGUGGAGUACAGAAGGUGGAAGAUCUGGCUUCUGUAGUUGCUUCUCCUCUGGACAUGGGCAUUGGCAUGUUGAUCUAUACCCCCAGCCUUUUUCUGUCCUUCCCUAGUGGGCCAAGGCUCUGAAGAAGUGAUAUUCUAGGAUACUUUGGUGAGGUCUUCUUCCCAAGGAAGUCAGGAUGGAAUCAUGAUAGCAUCUGCAACUUGGUGGUUGAAAGGCAGCAAAAUAUAAAGGAAGACAAAUUUAUUAAUGAAUAAGAACCAAAAAGUAGGAAAUAAGCAUAUGAGAAUAGAGACCUUAUGGUGGAAAAAAGCUAGGAAGUCUAUCUUAGGUAUGUUCCUAAGAAGCCCAGGACUUUUGUACUUUUUGUUUCUUUUUUUAAACUUUAUUUAUAAAAUAAAAAAUAGAAAAUGUCGACAAAACCAUAGGCUAAGAGGGGUAAAAUUCUUCACAUUUCCCACCACCAUAGUUCCAUAUCCCAUCUCCAUCCACUGGAAGCUUUCCUAUUCUUUAACCCUCUGGGAGUAUGGACCCAGGAUCAUUAUGGGGGGCAGAAGGUGGAAAGUCUGGCUUCUGUAAUUGGGUCUCCACUGAACGUGAGCAUUGGCAGGUCGAUCCAUACUUCCAACCGGUUUCUAUCUUUCCCUAGUGGGGCAGGGCUCUGGAGAAAUAGGGUAACAGGGUACAUUGGUGAGGUGGUCUGCCUGGGAGAGUCAGAUUGGUGUCAUGGCAGUAUCUGCAACUUGGUGUCUGAAAAAACAUUAAGAUGUAAAGAACAAAUUGUUUAAUAAUCUGUAA